CCUGUCCAACGUUAAUCGGGGCAGGGUGAGUCGACCCCUAAGGCGAGGCCGAAAGGCGUAGUCGAUGGGAAACAGGUUAAUAUUCCUGUACUUGGUGUUACUGCGAAGGGGGGACGGAGAAGGCUAUGUUGGCCGGGCGACGGUUGUCCCGGUUUAAGCGUGUAGGCUGGUUUUCCAGGCAAAUCCGGAAAACCAAGGCUGAGGCGUGAUGACGAGGCACUACGGUGCUGAAGCGACAAAUGCCCUGCUUCCAGGAAAAGCCUCUAAGCAUCAGGUAACAUCAAAUCGUACCCCAAACCGACACAGGUGGUCAGGUAGAGAAUACCAAGGCGCUUGAGAGAACUCGGGUGAAGGAACUAGGCAAAAUGGUGCCGUAACUUCGGGAGAAGGCACGCUGAUAUGUAGGUGAAGCGACUUGCUCGUGGAGCUGAAAUCAGUCGAAGAUACCAGCUGGCUGCAACUGUUUAUUAAAAACACAGCACUGUGCAAACACGAAAGUGGACGUAUACGGUGUGACGCCUGCCCGGUGCCGGAAGGUUAAUUGAUGGGGUUAGCGGCAACGCGAAGCUCUUGAUCGAAGCCCCGGUAAACGGCGGCCGUAACUAUAACGGUCCUAAGGUAGCGAAAUUCCUUGUCGGGUAAGUUCCGACCUGCACGAAUGGCGUAAUGAUGGCCAGGCUGUCUCCACCCGAGACUCAGUGAAAUUGAACUCGCUGUGAAGAUGCAGUGUACCCGCGGCAAGACGGAAAGACCCCGUGAACCUUUACUAUAGCUUGACACUGAACAUUGAGCCUUGAUGUGUAGGAUAGGUGGGAGGCUUUGAAGUGUGGACGCCAGUCUGCAUGGAGCCGACCUUGAAAUACCACCCUUUAAUGUUUGAUGUUCUAACGUUGGCCCCUAAUCGGGGUUGCGGACAGUGUCUGGUGGGUAGUUUGACUGGGGCGGUCUCCUCCUAAAGAGUAACGGAGGAGCACGAAGGUUGGCUAAUCCUGGUCGGACAUCAGGAGGUUAGUGCAAUGGCAUAAGCCAGCUUGACUGCGAGCGUGACGGCGCGAGCAGGUGCGAAAGCAGGUCAUAGUGAUCCGGUGGUUCUGAAUGGAAGGGCCAUCGCUCAACGGAUAAAAGGUACUCCGGGGAUAACAGGCUGAUACCGCCCAAGAGUUCAUAUCGACGGCGGUGUUUGGCACCUCGAUGUCGGCUCAUCACAUCCUGGGGCUGAAGUAGGUCCCAAGGGUAUGGCUGUUCGCCAUUUAAAGUGGUACGCGAGCUGGGUUUAGAACGUCGUGAGACAGUUCGGUCCCUAUCUGCCGUGGGCGCUGGAGAACUGAGGGGGGCUGCUCCUAGUACGAGAGGACCGGAGUGGACGCAUCACUGGUGUUCGGGUUGUCAUGCCAAUGGCACUGCCCGGUAGCUAAAUGCGGAAGAGAUAAGUGCUGAAAGCAUCUAAGCACGAAACUUGCCCCGAGAUGAGUUCUCCCUGAGACUUAGAGUCUCCUGAAGGAACGUUGAAGACGACGACGUUGAUAGGCCGGGUGUGUAAGCGCAGCGAUGCGUUGAGCUAACCGGUACUAAUGAACCGUGAGGCUUAACCUUACAACGCCGAAG
rnacentral:rRNA from 1 species